CAAUAGCGUAUAUUUAAGUUGCUGCAGUUAAAAAGCUCGUAGUUGGAUUUCGGGUGGGAAUGGCCGGUCCGCCGUUUCGGUGUGCACUUGCUACGCCCACCUUGCUGCCGGGGACGUGCUCUUGAGUUCACGCUCGGGACACGGAGUCGGCGAGGUUACUUUGAGUAAAUUAGAGUGUUCAAAGCAGGCCUACGCUCUGAAUACAUUAGCAUGGAAUAACACGAUAGGACUCUGGCCUAUCUUGUUGGUCUGUAGGACCGGAGUAAUGAUUAAGAGGGACAGUCGGGGGCAUUCGUAUUUCAUUGUCAGAGGUGAAAUUCUUGGAUUUAUGAAAGACGAACCACUGCGAAAGCAUUUGCCAAGGAUGUUUUCAUUAA
rnacentral:rRNA from 1 species